UACAGAGGUCUCAAGCGUUUGUUCGGAUUCAUUGGGCGUAAAGGGUGCGUAGGCGGCGCGGUAAGUCGGGUGUGAAAUCUCGGGGCUUAACUCCGAAACUGCAUUCGAUACUGCCGUGCUUGAGGACUGGAGAGGAGACUGGAAAUUUACGGUGUAGCGGUGAAAUGCGUAGAUAUCGUAAGGAAGACCAGUGGCGAAGGCGGGUCUCUGGACAGUUCCUGACGCUGAGGCAACGAAGGCCAGGGGAGCAAACGGG
rnacentral:rRNA from 1 species